ACGUAGGACCCGAGCGUUGUCCGGAUUUACUGGGUAUAAAGGGUGCGUAGGCGGUCUUGUGCGUCAGAGGUGAAAUCUCCGGGCUUAACCCGGAGGGUGCCUUUGAAACGGCAGGACUUGAGUGCGGGAGAGGGUGAUGGAAUUCCUGGUGUAGCGGUGAAAUGCUUAGAUAUCAGGAGGAACACCGGUGGCGAAGGCGGUCACCUGGCCCGUAACUGACGCUGAGGCACGAAAGCGUGGGGAUCAAACAGGAUUAGAUACCCUGGUAGUCCACGCCCUAAACGAUGUAUGCUUGGUGUUGGGUCCGCAAGGACUCAGUGCCGUAGGGAAUCUGAUAAGCAUACCACCUGGGGAGUACGAUCGCAAGGUUG
rnacentral:rRNA from 1 species